rnacentral:misc_RNA from 1 species
GAUGAAGAACGCAGCGAAAUGCGAUAAGUAAUGUGAAUUGCAGAAUUCAGUGAAUCAUCGAAUCUUUGAACGCACCUUGCGCUCCUUGGUAUUCCGGGGGGCAUGCCUAUUCGAGCGUCGUAGUCACGCUUCAAGCCCCGGCUUGGUGAUGGGGAACGCCCUCUCUCAGGGGGGGGCCUCCUUCAAACGCAACUCCGGACGCCUCUGUUGGCUGGGAGCGCAGCAGCAGUGCGCUUCCCCGAGGCGCCCGGGCGCCCCCUCGCGGGCCCGAGAUUGCUAGACCUCGAAUUAGGCAGGGAUACCCGCUGAACUUAAGCAUAUCAAUAAGCGGAGGA